rnacentral:rRNA from 1 species
UAAAUUGUUCAUUAAUUGUGAACUGGAAUGAAGGAAAAAAUGGUUUAAAUCUGUCUUAAAUACUAUAUGUUAAAUUUAAAUUUUUUGUAAAAAUACAAAAAUUUCUUUUAGGGACAAGAAGACCCUAUAAAGCUUAACUGAUAUUAUAACAUAAUUUGUUAUUAAAAUCAAUUUGAUUGGGGCAAUAAUUUAUAAACAAUUAAUAUAAAUUUAAUUUAAAUAAUUAUAUAUUAAUAUAAUGAUCCAUUAAUAAUGAAAAAUGAUUAAGUUACUUUAGGGAUAACAGGAUAAUUUUUAUUAGAAAGUUCUUAUUAAUAAUAAAGUUUAUUACCUCGAUGUUGAAUUAAUUUAAUUAAAUGGUGAAGUAGCCAUUUUUAAUUUGACUGUUCGUCAAUUAAAUAAUUACAUGAUCUGAGUUC